AAUAGAAGAAUGACAAAUCAAAUUUUUUCUUCCUCAUUUUCAGCUUUCUAACCUAAAAAUUAAUAUUCAAAUCCAACUAAAAAUGCUAAAACUAAGGAGGAAAAUUUUGAUUUGUCAUUUUCCUAUU
rnacentral:pre_miRNA from 1 species